rnacentral:rRNA from 1 species
GCAACCCUCGUUCUUAGUUGCCAUCAUUCAGUUGGGCACUCUAGGGAGACUGCCGGUGAUAAACCGGAGGAAGGUGGGGAUGACGUCAAGUCAUCAUGCCCCUUACGUCCUGGGCUACACACGUACUACAAUGGGUGGGACAAAGGGCAGCGAACUCGCAAGAGCCAGCUAAUCCCAUAAACCCAUCCUCAGUUCAGAUUGCUCUCUGCAACUCGAGAGCAUGAAGGAGGAAUCGCUAGUAAUCGCAGGUCAGCAUACUGCGGUGAAUACGUUCCCGGGCCUUGU